rnacentral:tRNA from 1 species
UGGGGGUUCGUCUAAUGGUAGGACACCAGACUCUGAAUCUGUUGAUGGAGGUUCGAAUCCUUCACCCCCAG